rnacentral:rRNA from 1 species
GAGUUUGAUCCUGGCUCAGGACGAACGCUGGCGGCGUGCUUAACACAUGCAAGUCGAGCGGUAAGGCCCUUUCGGGGGUACACGAGCGGCGAACGGGUGAGUAACACGUGGGUAACCUGCCCUCAGCUCUGGGAUAAGCCCGGGAAACUGGGUCUAAUACCGGAUAUGACUCCGCAUCGCAUGGUGUGGGGUGGAAAGCCUUGUGCGGCUGAGGAUGGGCCCGCGGCCUAUCAGCUUGUUGGUGGGGUAGUGGCCUACCAAGGCGACGACGGGUAGCCGGCCUGAGAGGGCGACCGGCCACACUGGGACUGAGACACGGCCCAGACUCCUACGGGAGGCAGCAGUGGGGAAUAUUGCGCAAUGGGCGAAAGCCUGACGCAGCGACGCCGCGUGAGGGAUGACGGCCUUCGGGUUGUAAACCUCUUUCAGCUCCGACGAAGCCUUCGGGUGACGGUAGGGGCAGAAGAAGCACCGGCCAACUACGUGCCAGCAGCCGCGGUAAUACGUAGGGUGCAAGCGUUGUCCGGAAUUAUUGGGCGUAAAGAGCUCGUAGGCGGUUUGUCGCGUCGACUGUGAAAACUCAGGGGCUCAACUCCGAGCUUGCAGUUGAUACGGGCAGACUAGAGUUCGGCAGGGGAGACUGGAAUUCCUGGUGUAGCGGUGAAAUGCGCAGAUAUCAGGAGGAACACCGGUGGCGAAGGCGGGUCUCUGGGCCGAUACUGACGCUGAAGAGCGAAGGCGUGGGGAGCGAACAGGAUUAGAUACCCUGGUAGUCCACGCCGUAAACGUUGGGCGCUAGGUGUGGGGUCCUUCCACGGGUUCCGUGCCG